rnacentral:rRNA from 1 species
GAUGAACGCUGGCGGCGUGCCUAAUACAUGCAAGUCGAGCGAACGGACGAGAAGCUUGCUUCUCUGAUGUUAGCGGCGGACGGGUGAGUAACACGUGGAUAACCUACCUAUAAGACUGGGAUAACUUCGGGAAACCGGAGCUAAUACCGGAUAAUAUUUUGAACCGCAUGGUUCAAAAGUGAAAGACGGUGUUGCUGUCACUUAUAGAUGGAUCGGCGCUGGAUUAGCUAGUUGGUGAGGUCACGGCUUACCAAGGCAACGAAGCAUAGCCGACCGGAGAGGGUGAGCGGCCACACUGGAAGUGAGACACGGUCCAGAGUGCUAGGGGAGGCAGCAGUAGGGAAUCGGGCGGAAGGGGCGAGAGCCUGACGGAGCAGGGCCGCGUGAGGGAGGAGGGUCGUCGGAUCGGAAAACUCUGUUAUUAGGGAAGAACAUAUGUGUAAGUAACUGUGCACAUCUUGACGGUACCUAAUCAGAAAGCCACGGCUAACUACGUG